CCUACGGGAGGCAGCAGUGAGGAAUAUUGGUCAAUGGACGCAAGUCUGAACCAGCCAUGCCGCGUGCAGGAAGACGGCUCUAUGAGUUGUAAACUGCUUUUGUACGAGGGUAAACGCAGAUACGCGUCUCUGUCUGAAAGUAUCGUACGAAUAAGGAUCGGCUAACUCCGUGCCAGCAGCCGCGGUAAUACGGAGGAUUCAAGCGUUAUCCGGAUUUAUUGGGUUUAAAGGGUGCGUAGGCGGUCGGAUAAGUUAGAGGUUAAAUCCCGAGGCUCAACGUCGGAAUUGCCUCUGAUACUGGUCGGCUAGAGAGUAGUUGCGGUAGGCGGAAUGUAUGGUGUAGCGGUGAAAUGCUUAGAGAUCAUACAGAACACCGAUUGCGAAGGCAGCUUACCAAGCUCCUUCUGACGUUGAGGCACGAAAGCGUGGGGAGCAAACAGGAUUAGAUACCCUAGUAGUC
rnacentral:rRNA from 1 species